AACAAGAUGGUUGAAGCAUUAAACAAUAAACUGUAAAUUUAUUUAUGAGGUACCACUCCUCUCUUGUAA
rnacentral:tRNA from 1 species